GGUCCCCUGCUUUGCGCGUCAGGGGUGGCAACGACUUGAGCCCAACUUAGAAUCAAAGGGGAUCCUAUAUUCGGGGAGGAUGGGUAUGCCCCCUGGAGGGGAAACCCGGAAACCCUGUGCGGAACCCCACCUGGCUGGAGCCAGGUUCAAGUUCACCCACCCGCAACGGCAAAGCGGGGGACCA
rnacentral:other from 1 species